CUCAACCGCAGGAGGCCAGGGGAUACUGGAGGGCUGGAGAGAGGUAGAGGCGAGCGGAAUUCCGGGUGUAGCGGUGGAAUGCGUAGAGAUCCGGAAGAACACCAGAGGCGAAGGCGGCUCGCUGGACCUGAUCUGACGCUGAGGUGCGAAAGCGUGGGGAGCGAACAGGAUUAGAUACCCUGGUAGUCCACGCCGUAAACGAUGGAUGCUAGAUGCCGGGGGGAUCGACCCCUUCGGUGUCGGAGCUAACGCGUUAAGCAUCCCGCCUGGGGAGUACGGCCGCAAGGCUGAAACUCAAAGGAAUUGACGGGGGCCCGCACAAGCGGUGGAGCAUGUGGUUUAAUUCGAAGCAACGCGAAGAACCUUACCUGGGCUUGACAUGCACGUGAAACCUCAGGGAAACCUGAGGCCCCCUUCGGGGCAC
rnacentral:rRNA from 1 species